rnacentral:RNase_P_RNA from 1 species
UGAGUAGGACAGAUGGUCGCGGCUGCAAUGUCGAAAGGCAGCAGGUGAGGAAAGUCCGGGCUUCAUAGGGCAGAAUGCCGGAUAACGUCCGGUGGAGGCGACUCCAAGGCAAGUGCAACAGAAAUAAACCGCCCAGUGAAACUAUAGUUAGUAUAAUUGCACUGAAAUUUGCGAAGCAAAUUUUAACUGAAUGGAAAAACUUGUUUUUGCAUUCAGUUUGGUAAGGGUGGAAAGGCAGUGUAAGAGACUACCGCCCUGUUGGUAACAACAGGGGCACAUGUAAACCCCAUUCGAAGCAAGACCGAACAGAAAGCGAUACGGCGGCCCGUCGUGCUUUCGGGUAGGUCGCUUGAGCCUGCUGGUAACAGCAGGUCUAGAUAGAUGACCAUCAAAAACAUAACCCGGCUUACGUGCCUGCUCAUUUU